rnacentral:rRNA from 1 species
UGCAAAGGUAGCACAAUCACUUGUUCUUUAAAUGAGGACUAGAAUCAACGGCACCACGAGGAUCCUACUGUCUCCCUACUCCAAUCAGUGAAACUGAUCUCUCCGUGAAGAAGCGGGGAUACAAAUAUAAGACGAGAAGACCCCAUGGAGCUUUAAACCCAACGACACCCAUUUUCUUUAUACCCUAGUAUUCAUUUGGCUAUGUUUGAUUGGUUUUAGGUUGGGGUGACCACGGAGCAUAAAAUAACCUCCACGAAGAAGAGACUAAUAAUCUUUAUCAAAGAAGUACACUUCCAAGAAUUAACAAAUUAAUUUCCAAUGAUCCGAUAUUCGAUCAACGAACCAAGUUACCCUGGGGAUAACAGCGCAAUCCACCUCAAGAGCUCCUAUCGACAGG